rnacentral:rRNA from 1 species
UGCGUAGGCGGAACUAUAAGUCAGAGGUGAAAUCACACAGCUUAACUGUGUAACUGCCUUUGAUACUGUAGAUCUUGAAUUAGGUUGAGGUUAGCGGAAUGUGACAUGUAGCGGUGAAAUGCAUAGAUAUGUCAUAGAACACCAAUUGCGAAGGCAGCUAGCUAGGCCUAUAUUGACGCUGAGGCACGAAAGCGUGGGGAGCGAACAGGAUUAGAUACCCUGGUAGUCC